UCGAACGAGACCUUCGGGUCUAGUGGCGCACGGGUGCGUAACGCGUGGGAAUCUGCCCUUGGGUUCGGGAUAACAGUUGGAAACGACUGCUAAUACCGAAUGAUGUCUUCGGACCAAAGAUUUAUCGCCCAGGGAUGAGCCCGCGUCGGAUUAGCUUGUUGGUGAGGUAAAAGCUCACCAAGGCGACGGUCCGUAGCUGGUCUGAGAGGAUGAUCAGCCACACUGGGACUGAGACACGGCCCAGACUCCUACGGGAGGCAGCAGUGGGGAAUAUUGGACAAUGGGCGAAAGCCUGAUCCAGCAAUGCCGCGUGAGUGAUGAAGGCCUUAGGGUUGUAAAGCUCUUUUACCCGGGAUGAUAAUGACAGUACCGGGAGAAUAAGCCCCGGCUAACUCCGUGCCAGCAGCCGCGGUAAUACGGAGGGGGCUAGCGUUG
rnacentral:rRNA from 1 species